UUGGUAGCUCAAUGGGUAGAGCAUCAGACUCAUAAUCUGAGGGUCACGGGUUCGACUCCCGUCCACAGCACCA
rnacentral:tRNA from 1 species